rnacentral:tRNA from 6 species
GCCGAAGUGGCGAAAUCGGUAGACGCAGUUGAUUCAAAAUCAACCGCCUUCGGGUGUGCCGGUUCGAUUCCGGCCUUCGGCACCA